rnacentral:rRNA from 1 species
AGUUUGAUCCUGGCUCAGGACGAACGCUGGCGGCGUGCUUAACACAUGCAAGUCGAACGGUGAUGUCAGAGCUUGCUCUGGCGGAUCAGUGGCGAACGGGUGAGUAACACGUGAGUAACCUGCCCCCGACUCUGGGAUAACUGCUAGAAAUGGUAGCUAAUACCGGAUAUGACGAUUGGCCGCAUGGUCUGGUCGUGGAAAGAAUUUCGGUUGGGGAUGGACUCGCGGCCUAUCAGGUUGUUGGUGAGGUAAUGGCUCACCAAGCCUACGACGGGUAGCCGGCCUGAGAGGGUGACCGGCCACACUGGGACUGAGACACGGCCCAGACUCCUACGGGAGGCAGCAGUGGGGAAUAUUGCACAAUGGGCGAAAGCCUGAUGCAGCAACGCCGCGUGAGGGAUGACGGCCUUCGGGUUGUAAACCUCUUUUAGUAGGGAAGAAGCGAAAGU